GACGAACGCUGGCGGCGUGCUUAACACAUGCAAGUCGAACGGAAAGGCCCUGCUUUUGUGGGGUGCUCGAGUGGCGAACGGGUGAGUAACACGUGAGUAACCUGCCCUUGACUUUGGGAUAACUUCAGGAAACUGGGGCUAAUACCGGCUAGGAGCCCCUGCUGCAUGGUGGGGGUUGGAUAGUUUCGGCGGUUGGGGAUGGACUCGCGGCUUAUCAGCUUGUUGGUGGGGUAGUGGCUUACCAAGGCUUUGACGGGUAGCCGGCCUGAGAGGGUGACCGGCCACAUUGGGACUGAGAUACGGUACAGACUCCUACGGGAGGCAGCAGUGGGGAAUAUUGCACAAUGGGCGGAAGCCUGAUGCAGCAACGCCGCGUGCGGGAUGACGGCCUUCGGGUUGUAAACCGAUUUCGCCUGUGACGAAGCGUGAGUGACGGUAAUGGGUAAAGAAGCACCGGCUAACUACGUG
rnacentral:rRNA from 1 species